CUCGCAAACGGACCCCCAGCCCUGAAAACAAAGCGACUGGUCGGACAUGGAGUAUCCGCGCCCCGCGCCACGCAGGACAGGAGUCCCCAGAGAAGCAUCCGUCCCCUUGGGAUAUCACCCCGUGCCCCAUCCACGGGGUGGGGGAGGGAGGGCCAAAAGGGAGGACCCGGGAAAGGGGAAAGAUUUAAAAUAGUCUCCAGAAAAGAGAGGAGGAAGGGGACGCGUGACACAUUUUUCACAUAAACCCAGGUUCUGAUUUCAAGUGAAGACCCUCGCCGCUGCGCCCGCACAGACAUCUACGCUUGACAUUCCCAGCUCCAAAAGCCAAAAGGAAAGAAAGAAAAGAGAAAAGAAAAAACAGUGAAAGCCGGGACUGUCACCUAUUUACUUAGCUUCUCCCCUGCGUUCUUCGGGCGAAUCGGAGAGGCGGACGCAGCGCGGGGCAAAGUUUGUCCCACCCGCAUUUCGCAGCUGGCUGCGAGGAGAGGAGGAGGAGCGGGAAGUAGAGCUCGGAGCCUGCGGCCGCGAGGAUGACUGAGCCAGCGCCGCGCUUACCUCGCAGUCCUCGUACUUGAUAUUAUCCGUCAGUUUCCAAAGCAUUUUCAUGGAUCGGCGUGAAUGGAUUUGCCCCCUCUCCGCCUCGCACCCAAGUGGAGCUACUCUGGCCUAAUCGCCUCAUUAGCAUAUCAACAAUAGUCCAAUUGCUCGCCAGCACCACAAUCUGCCGCCGGCCGCUCAGACCCAGGUAUAAAGGCCUCUCCGAGCCGCGAACUUACUCCUAGAGCGCACGCCUGCCGGUGAGCCCACGAAAUCUCCCCUGAGCCUCGCCGCGCGCCUCUGCCCAGCGCCCCCGCCCCCAGGCCACCUCUCCUCUCCGUCUCCUCCUCGCCGGAGAUGCCCCGGCAAAAGCCCGGAGCUGAACAGGUUCCGAGCGGCCGCACCUGGGACCCGACUAUCAGCACCUCUC